UCUCGAUUCGUCUAGUGGUUAGGAUACCUGCUUGUCAUCGAAACCGCAGGUGGCCGGGGUUCAAUUCCCCGAUCGGGAG